CAGGAUUUGGAAUCAAAACAACAUGCUGACUUGGGGCAUGCUGUUGAUAUUAAUGAAGAUGCUGUGUGUUCACCUACCUGUUAUAUCUCAGAGGUGAGAACUAUAGAACACUUGGAGGAGUUGCCAGGUGAUCAAAUUUCAGUGGAAUCUGUGUGUGCAGUCAUGGAUGAAGCAAAGUUUGAGUUGUUGGAUCUUCAGAGUACACCUCCUUGUCGUCUUGCAGAGACUGGAGUUGCUUCAGAGCAGUCACUGGAAUUGCAAUCUGAUCAACUUGACGGGGGAUGCUGGCAACCAGAUGAAGCAAGUCCGAAGUCAUCAGAUCUGCAGCCUGAACAGAUAAAGACUGCAAGCGACAUAGGUAAAAAAAGAUGCCUUGAUGUUUCUUCCAAACAAGAUGCUCCUCCAAGCCAAGAACUCCAAAUGCAACCAGCAGGUGAAGAGCUUAAUGAAACUAUGUUGUCAAGUAAUCCAUUUGAUUCUGUCUUUCCUAGCUUUGGUGUACUCCCUGAGAAUUUGGGGGAGAUGCCGCCUUUGCCACCCCUACCUCCUAUGCAAUGGAGGUUAGGCAAGGUUCAACCUGCUCCACUAGCUUUACUUAGAGGAUGGAUUGAUAAUGGUGAGGGCACAUUGGCGCCAAUACAGCCAUUUACAGCUGAUGAGAAAUCUCCAAUUGAUAUCCUAUCAUCCGGGAGAGAGAUUAUGCAGCCUUCAAACCCAUUUUUGUCUUUUAAUUGUGCUGAUAUUCAGAAGCCACAACAAUCGUAUGCAGAGUUAGUGGAAAAUUCCUUGCAGCCAAGUCCACUCUCAUUGGAGAUGCCAGCUGUUACUAGCAAUGCAAACAGUCAAGAGGGUUCUCAUGCAUUAGAGGGAGUACAUUCCUGGAAACCAUUCUUGACUUCACCAGAAAUAACUAAUGACAGGCCCGAGGAUGGUUUGAUUGCAUCAGGAGGAACACAAAUAGGGUCUUUUCAAGACCUAUUAUCACCGUUAGCAACUAUAGAGCACAUACCCUCUGAACAUGAUCCUGUGCCCUCACAUGGCCUGGAAACCAAGCUCUUAAAUCAAGUGAUGUCUGAAUCGAUUUUAGAGGCAAAGGAACCUGAACACAGUUUGCAAAA
rnacentral:misc_RNA from 1 species